rfam:Brassica oleracea var. oleracea cultivar TO1000 chromosome C8, whole genome shotgun sequence
GGAAUAUAAGAAACCGUCUCUUAACUUUUAAAAAAAAACUAAGAACCGACUUUUAAAUAAGAGUUUUAAGAGACGGUUCUUAGUUUUUUUAGUUAAAAAUUAAGAGACAGAUUCUUAUAUUCC